rfam:Strongyloides ratti strain ED321 Heterogonic genome assembly, chromosome: 1
GGCGCUGUGAUGUAGUGGCAGCAUACUGGACUCUGAAUCCAGGUACCUGGGUUCGAAUCCCAGCAGUGCCU